UACGGGGGGGGCAAGCGUUGUUCGGAAUUACUGGGCGUAAAGGGCCAGUAGGCGGCCAACUAAGUCCGACGUGAAAUCCCCAGGCUUAACCUGGGAACUGCGUCGGAUACUGGAUGGCUUGAAUUCGGGAGAGGGAUGCAGAAUUCCAGGUGUAGCGGUGAAAUGCGUAGAUAUCUGGAGGAAUACCGGUGGCGAAGGCGGCGACCUGGGUAGAUACUGACGCUGAGGUGCGAAAGCGUGGGGAGCAAACAGG
rnacentral:rRNA from 1 species